UAAUAGUUUGGAAAUUAUGUUUUCUUAUCUUCUUCUCAACAAUCUUUUCGCGCAUAGCGGUGCUUGUUGGUGUCAUCUUAUUGUCCUUUGGUUUGCAUGGCUUUUGCAAGUCGUGUGAGUUGGGGUGCAUUAGAUGGCGUUGGCAUAGUGUACGUAUGGCGCGUGAGUGGUGUUUGGUUUGUUUGGGUGGGUUGGAUCCCUGCUUGUGCAGCGACGACCGCUCUUUCAUUCCUUUUCAUUCUUGAUCCAAGAGCAGUAAGCCUUGGAACAUCUCGGUUGCCUGUGUUUUAUACCUAUGUUGAUGGAAUUCGUUUGUCCAAUUGCCCCUAAUUCAACUUGUGCUUCUCACGCGGUGCGAGAUGAACCAUGUAGUGUCCUUUGUUGUCCCUUCUUGCCUUGCGCUUGCGCGUCGCAUGAAAUGGCCAAUGUUGCGACACUCGAACUCUCGGAUACGGAACCUUAAGCGGGCAAAGGGUCUUUGGCCUCGAUUUGCCUAAACUAAGCGUUCUCGCUUCUUACGAACGACUGUCGUGCCCGUUUUGACCUGAGGAUACUUUUGGUCCGACUGGCUCAUGCGGUAUCGACGUCGAAGAGGAAUG
rnacentral:misc_RNA from 1 species